GGAAGUACUUCCGGUUUAAGGACAAGUGUAGUAAGCACCACAGACGUGUAACACAAAUUCGUGGAACCACGAACCUCUCCAGGGUGGUGUGGGACAUUCAAUCUGCCCAUGCAAGGUCUCUAGAACUGUUUGUGGCUUCACGGCAUUCAACACAGUUUGACAGGAAUAGUUCACAGCCAUCAGAAAAUUGUCAGAUGAUCGUAUUAUUCUCUGCUCAAGAUAAAAACUUUUAUCAUCCCAGUAUACCAACUGAAAAAAAAA